GAGAAUCCAUAGAGAUUGGCAGAUAUGAUUGAUGAAAUUGAGGAUUACCAAAUAUUUUUAGGUGCUGAGUUCAGAAAUGUGUUGACAAACUAGCAGAUAAUCUUGCUUAAUGAGUCGUUAGGUCUUACUUGAGUAGUCCCAGCUCCCUACAUAGCUGUGUUGACAAAAUAGUGGAUUUAUUGGUUUUUU